UACGUAAGGACCGAGCGUUGUCCGGAAUUACUGGGCGUAAAGAGCUCGUAGGCGGUUUGUCGCGUCGUCUGUGAAAUUCCGGGGCUUAACUCCGGGCGUGCAGGCGAUACGGGGAUAACUUGAGUACUGUAGGGGAGACUGGAAUUCCUGGUGUAGCGGUGAAAUGCGCAGAUAUCAGGAGGAACACCGAUGGCGAAGGCGGGUCUCUGGGCAGUUACUGACGCUGAGGAGCGAAAGCAUGGGUAGCGAACAGG
rnacentral:rRNA from 1 species